CUGGCUAGACCCGCGCGCAGGCGGAAAGCCCUACGCUCCGCAGCAGUGACAACAGCGGUAGACUGGGUCUCUUUUUUCCCCCUUUCAUUUCUCUUCUUUCUUUCUUUCUUCUUUCUUUUUUUUUCUUUUUGAGUCGGGGUCUCAUUCGGGCAGGCUGGCCUCUAACGUCCUGCGUUUUAGGUUCCCAGGCGCCACUACGUUGGGCUUGCCAGGCAGUUUCAUGACCGUCUUUUUUGAGGUGCGUUCCCAAGCCAAGCGGAAACUCGAGAAGAUUGGCCCAUUGUUAAGAUCUUUCUGCCCUCAGAAGAAAGAGGGCUCAAGGAGUUCCUGUGGGACUUGAUUCCUGUCCCAAGACCUGAGACUUUUUCCUGAGUCCGGAAGAUAGCAGGGAGUGGUUUCCAGACAUUAUUCUAGAAGGGAACAAUUGGAAGAAACUUUCUGUCACAGCGUAAGAAAAAGGCCUAUUGACAGGUAGCUGUGUGUCGGAUCUCCUACCCUGCCCUGCUGUGGAAUCAAUCAGAUGAGUGAAGACCCUGCUGGGAGUUGUGAAUUAAUUUCUUUGGAUGCUCAAGCCCUAAAUCAAGUCAUGAAAGGAACAGUCAUGUUGUCAAAUGUCAGGCUGCCUCAGGCUUGUGACCCUGCUGCCAUCACCUUUAAAGUGUUGGGAUGACAGAUCAGAAAGUUACCAGACAGAUUUCAACUGCCCCACAACCCAGGACAGAAGCCACAGAGUUACUUUCUGAUCUGGAGUUAUUCCGGCAAGGGCACUGACUUCUGGAGUGCAGUUUUAGUCAA
rnacentral:lncRNA from 1 species